AGUCAACAGUCGCUACAGUCCCAUUAGUUUUCUUUGCAGCCUCGUUUGAAUGUCGCGGUUGCGCACAUUUGUACGGAAUGGGAUACCUUGUAACUGGAGAUUCCUUCAAAACGAUUGCCUACAGUUAACGUGUAGGGCACUGCAAGGUUGUGUGACCAGGGCCAUCUGGGACUGCCUCCUGGAGGAAUUCAGGUGUGUGAAGGCUACCUGUGUCCUGCAUAACUUCAUGAGGAUGGACACGAGGACAAGGGGGGAUCUGCAGCUCGCCGCAGUGUGCCAGAGGAGAAGUCUGCUGCUCUGCAGGAUGUUUCAAGAAUGCGGUCCAACAACACAGCAAGAGAGGCAAUCCGUGUGCGGGAGAUCUUCACCUCCUACUUCUUUGAAGAGGGUGCUGUUCCAUUGGCAACACCAUAGACUACACUAUGCACAACCAAAGGCUCUUUUAAGAGCCAUUUACAUUGCAAUAAGAGUAUUCUUCCAUUUACUUAACUAUGUCAACUGCAGUUAUUCAAUUCACAGUUUCUCUCCCUUUGAUUUCUACUUCGCAGCAUAAAGUACUCUGCAGCCACUUAGUGUGUCCACCAGCUGUGUUGGUGAACCCCUCCCUCAUCUGAACUGGCUACAUAGAGGGCACAGCAUGAUCAGAGAUAUGUUUGAUGUGAGAGAGGAUGGCAUCCCCCAGUCCCAUCAUCCCCACCUCACCUGCUUUUAAGAUAACCUUUGGGCCGACGAGAGACACUAUAAUGCAAUUGUGAUGAACUGAGAGAAUAUUUGGGUAGCACUGUGAUUCAUUAAUCAUAUGCUGCCUUCCCUGCUCCUAUGUUUUACCUCUUUCUCUUUGUCUUUUACACCUCUCCCACCACUUGCUCUUCCUUCCUCUGUUUUUAUAAUGC
rnacentral:lncRNA from 1 species